GCGUCAGUAGUGCAGCGGGUUAGAGCACACGCCCCAAAUAGAGUGAGAUCUGGGUUCGAGUCCCGCCCGACGCA